AACGAACGCUGGCGGCAUGCCUAACACAUGCAAGUCGAACGAGACCUUCGGGUCUAGUGGCGCACGGGUGCGUAACGCGUGGGAACCUGCCCUUAGGUUCGGAAUAACUCCCCGAAAGGGGUGCUAAUACCGGAUAAUGUCUUCGGACCAAAGAUUUAUCGCCUUUGGAUGGGCCCGCGUUGGAUUAGCUAGUUGGUAGGGUAAAGGCCUACCAAGGCGACGAUCCAUAGCUGGUCUGAGAGGAUGAUCAGCCACAUUGGGACUGAGACACGGCCCAGACUCCUACGGGAGGCAGCAGUGGGGAAUAUUGGACAAUGGGCGAAAGCCUGAUCCAGCAAUGCCGCGUGAAUGAUGAAGGCCUUAGGGUUGUAAAGCUCUUUUACCCGGGAUGAUAAUGACAGUACCGGGAGAAGAAGCUCCGGCUAACUCCGUG
rnacentral:rRNA from 1 species